rnacentral:rRNA from 1 species
GCUGGCGGGGUGCCUAAUUCAUCCAAGUGGUUCGAACUUCCGUUAAUUGAUUUUGACGUACUUGUACUGAUUGAGAAUUUAACAGGAACUAGGUGCCGAACGGGUGAGUAACACGUGGUUAACCUGCCAUGAAGUAGGGAAUAAGACCUGGAAACCGAUGCUAAUACGGUAUUACAGAAAAAACCGGAUGGUUUUCUUUAAAAAGAUGGCUGUGCUAUCACUUCUGGAUGGACCCGCGGCGUAUUAGGUUGUUGGUGAGGUAAAGGCCAACCAAGGCAGUGAUACGUAGCCGACCUGAGAGGGUAAUCGGCCACAUUGGGACUGAGACUGGGCCCAGACUCCUACCGGAGGCAGCAGUAGGGAAUCUUCCAG